rnacentral:rRNA from 1 species
UACGUAGGGUGCAAGCGUUGUCCGGAAUUAUUGGGCGUAAAGAGCUCGUAGGCGGUCUGUUGCGUCGGCUGUGAAAACCCGGGGCUCAACUCCGGGCCUGCAGCCGAUACGGGCAGACUAGAGUUCGGCAGGGGAGACUGGAAUUCCUGGUGUAGCGGUGAAAUGCGCAGAUAUCGGGAGGAACACCUGUGGCGAAGGCGGUUGCCUGGGGCUUUGCUGACGCUGAUGCGCGAAAGCGUGGGGAGCGAUCCGG